GCUAGGGUAGCCUAGUGGACAUGGCAUCUGCCCGGUAAGCGGAAGGUUGUGGGUUCGAUUCCCGCCCCUGGACA